rnacentral:misc_RNA from 1 species
GAAAUGCGAUAAGUAAUGUGAAUUGCAGAAUUCCGUGAAUCAUCGAAUCUUUGAACGCACAUUGCGCCCCCUGGCAUUCCGGGGGGCAUGCCUGUCCGAGCGUCAUUUCUGCCCUCAAGCACGGCUUGUGUGUUGGGUGUGGUCCCCCCGGGGACCUGCCCGAAAGGCAGCGGCGACGUCCGUCUGGUCCUCGAGCGUAUGGGGCUCUGUCACUCGCUCGGAAAGGACCUGCGGGGGUUGGUCACCACCAUAUUUCACCACGGUUGACCUCGGAUCAGGUAGGAGUUACCCGCUGAACUUAAGC